CCUGCUAGUUCUGGGGGUGAGGGAGCAGCUGGGGUAACUCAUGCCUGUUGUCUCUGCUCCUGCAGUGUCUGCUCAUAGCCACAUGUACUGGAUCCACUGGGAAGGGGCAAUGAAAACCCGGUGCCUGCUGUUUCUGCCCCACAGCAUGUGCUCAUCGGCACACACAGCUGCUGGCUCCGCUCGGAAAGUGGAUUUAGAUGGGGCUUCCUUGGACCAGUCUGUGCCAUCUUCUCUGUCAACGUUGUUUUCUUUCUGAUGACUCUCUGGAUGUUGAAAAGCAGACUCUCUUCCCUCAACAGUGAUGUGUCCACCCUGCAGGACACAAGGUAAGCCGGAGGAGAGGGUGACAACCCACAGCCGCGUGUGGUCCCAAGAGUGAAGCCAUGUCCCUUAGCAGCCCCUGCUGCCCCUUAUCAGGGUCUUCUGAGAACCCAGAGUAAUCAGACCCAGCUAUGCUUCUGUGGCAGUCAGCUCAGACUCAGGGGUGUGUGGCUGACACCCCAGCCAAAAUGUUCCGUCCAUCUCUAACCCCAGAUUGUUGCUCCCUCAGCAGCAGGAAGAAUGGACAUGGGUUGAUAAACAUUCCUGGGACUUUUGUCAGCAGUACCAUGACAAAAAUACAAAGAUUUAUGUUCCCAUGAAGCACUUAGAAAACUCUGUGUCUGCUCCCACACCAGCCUACACUUUCAUACAGCACCAUCAGCUCAGGUUACUUCUCACCCCUCAUCCAUUCCUCUCUCUGGAAAAAAUCCUAGUCAACAUCAAAUCUAGGAGGUUGGGCAUUCCUUUGCUCCAGGAACCCUUGUGGAAAUUUAACGCUCUUUCUUCCAUAUUCCUAUCAUCAUCCUUUCCGAAUGAAAAUAGAAUCUUGCCUUUGUUAUUUUUAAUGCCCA
rnacentral:lncRNA from 1 species